rnacentral:lncRNA from 1 species
UGAGAUGUCCCCUAUAAGACCGUGUCUGGGACAUGGCAUGGGCACCAACAUGAGAACAUCCCAUGUAAGACCAUGUCUGGGACAUGGCUUUGGCAUGUUAUUAUCAGAAGAGACCCGAGUAUCCUUAUUAUUCCAAUGUAGCUCAACGGGCUUGUAAACGAAUCAUGUUCAUGAAAGUUCAGUUUAAAGCAUAAAUGGCAAGCUCAGGUAAGUUGUAAGACUUAAGAACUUAUUAUACUAUCAAUUGAUGUUCAACGAUGCAGCAAGAGUUGAGUAAGUUAUG